UUGGAAGGGGUGUAUUUAUUAGAUAAAAAACCAAUGCCCUUCGGGGCUCCUUGGUGAUUCAUAAUAACUUAACAAAUCGCAUGGCCUUGCGCCGGCGAUGGUUCAUUCAAAUUUCUGCCCUAUCAACUUUCGAUGGUAGGAUAGUGGCCUACCAUGGUCUUAACGGGUAACGGGGAAUUAUGGGUUCGAUUCCGGAGAGGGAGCCUGAGAAACGGCUACCACAUCCAAGGAAGGCAGCAGGCGCGCAAAUUACCCAAUCCCGACACGGGGAGGUAGUGACAAUAAAUACUGAUACGGGGCUCUUUCGGGUCUCGUAAUUGGAAUGAGUACAAUCUAAAUCCCUUAACGAGGAACAAUUGGAGGGCAAGUCUGGUGCCAGCAGCCGCGGUAAUUCCAGCUCCAAUAGCGUAUAUUAAAGUUGUUGCCGUUAAAAAGCUCGUAGUUGAACCUUGGACCUGGCUGAUCUGUCCUCCUAAUCGAGCGCACGGAUUCGGUCGGGUCUUUCCUCCUGGGGAGCCUCAUGCCCUUCGCUGGGUGUGCUGGGGAACCAGGACUUUUAC
rnacentral:rRNA from 1 species